rnacentral:tRNA from 1 species
AAUUUGGUAGCCUAGUCGGUAAAGGCAGCACUUCUAGUAUAGUGUCUUGGCUUCUAUCUACGUUUUCUGGUUCAAAUCCUACCCAAGUUG